rnacentral:rRNA from 1 species
AGCAGCCGCGGUAAUUCCAGCUCCAAUAGCGUAUAUUAAAGUUGUUGCAGUUAAAAAGCUCGUAGUUGAAUUUCGGGGUCAGUAGGUUGGUCGUGCCACUGGUAUGUACUGGCCUUACUGAUUCCUCCUUCCUGAUGAACCGUAAUGCCAUUAAUUUGGUGUUGCGGGGAAUCUGGACUGUUACUUUGAAAAAAUUGAGUGUUUAAAGCAGGCUAACGCUUGAAUACAUUAGCAUGGAAUAAUGGAAUAGGACGUUCGAUCCUAUUUUGUUGGUUUCUAGGAUUGACGUAAUGAUUAAUAGGGAUAGUUGGGGGCAUUAGUAUUCAAUUGUCAGAGGUGAAAUUCUUGGAUUUAUUGAAGACUAACUACUGCGAAAGCAUUUGCCAAGGAUGUUUUCAUUAAUCAAGAACGAAGUUAGGGAUCGAAGACGAUCAGAUACCGUCGUAGUCUUAACCAUAAACUAUAGACCGACUAGGGAUCGGAUGAUGUUUAAUUUUUANGUACUUCAUUCGGCGCCUUA